AACGAACGCUGGCGGCAGGCCUAACACAUGCAAGUCGAGCGAGGACUUCGUUUCUACCUGCUGUCGGGUGGGUAACGCGUGGGAAUGUUCCCUUCUCUACCGAAUACCCCUUUUUAAUUGGGAUUAAUACCGUAUACGCCCUACUGGUGCAAGAUUUAUCGUGGAAGUAUCAGCCCGCGUUGGUUUAGGUAGUUGGUUGGGUAAUGGCCUACCAAGCCGACGAUCCAUAGCUGGUUUGAGAGAAUGAUCAGCCACACUCGGACUGGGACACGGCCGAGAAUACUACGGGAGGGAGGAGAGGGGAAUCUUAGAAAAUGGGGGCAACGCAGAACUAGCCAGGCCGGGUGAGUGAUGAAGGCGUUAGAGAAGAAAAGCACGUUAAGAUGGGAAGAUAAUGACGGUACCAGCAGAAGAAGCACCGGCUAACUCCGUG
rnacentral:rRNA from 1 species